UACAGAGGGUGCGAGCGUUAAUCGGAUUUACUGGGCGUAAAGCGUGCGUAGGCGGCUUUUUAAGUCGGAUGUGAAAUCCCUGAGCUUAACUUAGGAAUUGCAUUCGAUACUGGGAAGCUAGAGUAUGGGAGAGGAUGGUAGAAUUCCAGGUGUAGCGGUGAAAUGCGUAGAGAUCUGGAGGAAUACCGAUGGCGAAGGCAGCCAUCUGGCCUAAUACUGACACUGAGAGACGAAAGCUAGGGGAGCGAAUGGG
rnacentral:rRNA from 1 species